rnacentral:rRNA from 1 species
CCUGGCUCAGGAUGAACGCUAGCGGCAGGCCUAACACAUGCAAGUCGAGGGAGGAGCUUUCGGGCUUCGACUGGUGUACGGGUGCGUAACGCGUAUACAAUCUGCCUUUCACAUAGGGAUAGCUCGAAGAAAUUUGGAUUAAUACCUAAUGGUAUAUAGAGGUGGCAUCAUUUUUAUAUUAAAGCUGAGGCGGUGCAAGAUGAGUAUGCGUUCUAUUAGCUAGUUGGGGAGGUAACGGCUCCCCAAGGCGACGAUAGAUAGGGGUUCUGAGAGGGAUAUCCCCCACACUGGUACUGAGAUACGGACCAGACUCCUACGG